rnacentral:lncRNA from 1 species
AUAAAAGUCUUAUCAAACAAAUUUUUUGUUUUAUAAUUUUUUAGAACUAAAAUACAAUUCUUAGAAAUCAAUUCAAACAGGCCCUUACUCUCCCUACCAAGAUAAAAUGGAUAACUUAUACCAUGCGAUCCACUUAAUUUUCUGACAAGUUUGAAGGUAUGAUAUGUCCACCUCUAGAUGAUAAUCUACGGACAAGAUAGAAGCUAACCUUGCACAAACCGUUUUGACUGAGAAUCCCGCGGUGUCGUUCCACCAAAAAAAAUUGUCAACAACAUUCGGAAUCAAAUUAAGAAUGAGAAGAAGAUCAUUUAAAUCUGUCUGAGAAGCUUCCACAAGAAAAUCAGAAUUAAAUUGAGGUUCCAAGACCAAACACCAUGGCACCACUACCCCAAAUCCUCUAUAGAAGGUCUAGAAAAUUGUACCUUUUCAAACUGACUAGAAAAUUGUAGCUUCAAUUGGGCACUUCCAAUCCAUUGAUUUCUCCAAAAGUCAAUAUAGGAACCCUUACAUAGCUUGCAAGAAAACCCAUUACCUAACCAAUUUGCUUCGCCACCCCUAAUACCUAACGAGACCCUUAGAUCCCUCAAAUAAAAGAGUUUAAAUAAAUAAUGCCAAAUAAAAGAUAUAAUAGUUUUAAUGAGUCAUCAAAUAUAGACUAUAUUAAAAAAAUAAACUUUACCAAUUUAAAUAUAUUUUUAUAAAUUUACUUUUGAUUAAAAAUAAUUAAUUGAGAGAGUUCUAUAUUAAAGUGGAUUUUUUAUACGAUUAAAAAUUAAUAAAAAGUAUGAUACAGGAAAAAAAANNN